UACGUAGGGUGCAAGCGUUAAUCGGAAUUACUGGGCGUAAAGCGUGCGCAGGCGGCGCCGCAAGUCAGGCGUGAAAUCCCCGGGCUUAACCUGGGAAUGGCAUUUGGGACUGCACGGCUAGAGUACGGCAGAGGAGACUAGAAUUCCUGGUGUAGCAGUGAAAUGCGUAGAUAUCAGGAGGAAUACCGAUGGCGAAGGCAGGUCUCUGGGUCGAUACUGACGCUCAUGCACGAAAGCGUGGGGAGCAAACAGG
rnacentral:rRNA from 1 species